rnacentral:lncRNA from 1 species
AGCUGGUGUGGUGAGCCUGGCUUGGUUGUCAAAUAAAAGCUUCCAUAGACUCAAGUUCCCUGGGUGAAGCACUCAGGUUCCCAGGGCCUGACUGCUUACUAAGAGCAAUUGUGUAAAAGGUCUGUAGCUCAAGGGGGCCCACAGUUCAUCACAACCUCUCCCCUCCUCCAAAACAAUGACCAUUAUAAUCCCAUGAAACUCAGUGGGGGCAUUAAAUUUGGCAGCUCUAGAAAGUUCUCAGGUCACCCCUGCAUGAAGGCUGCCCCAGGAGAGCAGGGCGAGGCUGCAGAGGCCCCGGAGAACUGAAGUCCCUGCUCACCCGAGACACUAGCGCACAAAAAGCAGGAGGCCUUUUGUGGGCUCCCCCAGGCCUGUGUGUGCUUCAGAAGCAACUGGCAGGAGGUUCUUUGCAAUCAAGGAUUCUUGCCCUCAGCAAGCCAGGGUGUGUUGUGUGUGGGUUUGUGUGUGUGUGUAGGUGCGCAUGCACACGUGUGUAUUGAAACCAAACUCUAGCUUAUGUGUCCAUAGUGAAAUUUGAAAAUGGAAGCCUAAAGUUGAAAAUUAAAAUUAUCCAUGAA